UCGCCUGGCAAUCACGUUUCCUUAUCACUUUUCCAGCCAGCUUUGUGACUCUAAGUGUUGGACGGAGAACUGAUAAGGGUAGGUGAUUGG
rnacentral:pre_miRNA from 1 species